rnacentral:piRNA from 1 species
UNGCAUGUGGCCAAGCGGAGUAGGUGCCAGC